UUCUCUACCCCACACCGGACUUCAUCACAUGCCAGAAUAUUUCCUUACUGAAAAAGAAAAUUUUCCUAUUUUAGGAGAAGAAAAACAAAAUUCUGACCCUAAAAGAAGAAACAGUUUGAAAAUAAUUCUACCCAGGUUGUUUUAGGUUGUCUUCACUCCCAUUUUUCCAAACCAAGCAAGAACUCUGACCUAAUCUUUUUUCAAGCAUUCAAAAGAAAACAUGCAUACAUAUUUUGAAUAGGAUUUUGAAGGACUCAUCACGAUUUAAAAACAAGUUGCGGAGUUGGAGAUAUUCAAAAGGGGAUUGGUGGGUGUGACUAUGAACCAGCCAAGCUGUCGAAGCCUCGAAGAUUGAAGAGAGGAGUGUCAAAGGAGUUAGUGGCCUGACGCGUGGAAUAGUGGAAAAAGGGGGGAGUUUCUGACUAAAAAAGAGUAGUGGUAUUAUUAUGGUACACGGUCAUCAAAGUAAAUCCAGGGAGAGCAGUUUGUACGAGGAGGAUGUGUGGGCUAUGCUCCACUACUCCGUGUUCGACGCUUGUCACUCUUCUGCGCCUUUCUCCUCCAUUCCGUACAGUUGCAGCCCCAUCAAUGUCACGUCCUCAUCUCUUUCCCCUCCAUCUACAUGCGUGGUUCUGGUUUCUGUUUAUAUAUUAUCUGCUUUUAUUUACAGUGAAUACCCUCUAUGAACCCUCUGAAUUACCAACUUGUCCAGGGGCGUCUCCUUAAAUGAAUGAAAGAUUAAAGUUUCCAAUGGCCUCCUGGUCCAAGGAUGCUCCCCAAGGGCUUUUCAGGUCACCCCUUCAGUACAAAUAGUAUAUAUUAAGGGUAUAUUGAUAUUCUCAUUCAUAUGUAUCUAAAAGGAAAAAGAUUCACUAAAAGCUUUCUUGACUAUUUGUUGAAAAUUCAGAAUGGAUGUUUAUAUGCUUGUGAUAAUAUUCCUCCAGCUGCCAUGGAUGCUUCCAUUUCAAACACUCCAUGAUUUAUGUUUUGAGCAUUGCUAUAUCUUGUGCCUAAUGUGGCGGACAUCCUUAGGCCAUUUCGCUUUCCUCCUCCUAAACCAGGGCCUAACAUGUCUGCACAUUAGUGGAAUUGGUGAAAUUACCCCAUCGGAACAUUAAUCUUCAACUUUUGUUCAUCACUUUGUGAAGACUAUUGAGGUGAAGCUUAGAACAGUUUCCAUGGAUUUAGCUUUGAACAAUGUGGCAAUUGAUCCCUGGGGAAGUGUUUUAAUUUUCCAUAGUAAUUAGUAAGAAAUUGGAUGAACUAAAUUUGGUUUGCUUCUAAUAGCAUUUAAUAAGUUGAUAAGGAGCCAAUAUCACAAUAUGUUUCAUAUUGGAGAUAUGUUUGAUUACUGAGAAAACAAAAAGGGAAAAGAAGUCAUCUGAAGUAUAAUUCACUUGUUUAAUUUCUAUUAACUAUGGAGGGACAAUUAAGAUUCUCAUUCUUAAUUACAUGUUAAAUCAUAUUUGCUUAACCUAAUGAUUCAAACUUAUCUUAAUUGCCAUAAUUAUAUUAUCAACAUAUUUUGUCUUUCUUGUUGAAAAUAACAAUAUUAAUGCGUCUCUCCUAAGUCGCGCCUUUUUGCAGGUAGUGCGCAUGCGGCGUAUGCAAAUAGUAGCGAGUCAUGAUACGAAUUUGUAUAAAAAGAUUCAAUCAUGUGAUCUUAUGUUAAACCCACUAAACAUUUGAAUGCAAAGAACUUUCCCUUUUGUUUAGGUCAGGUGAUUUGCACAGUAAUUUAUAAGAAGGGUAGUACUGUGGAAGCAUAAAAUAGUGUUGCUGUGGCAGAAACCAAAUAGGUAAUUUAGAGAGACUUCAAUUUCAAUGCUGCAAAGUUAGCCUUUCAAAGAAGCGAAAGAAGAACGGUAUAAGGAUUUGAGAAGGUUGAAAAGGGACCACUUCAAAUUUGGUGGUGUAUCACCUAAAUUUAAUUGUGACAAGUAUGGCUGAAAAUUAAUGGAUUGUAGUUUGAACAGUAAGAAUUAAGGCAUAAUAGGCUUUACUAUAGGAGAAAGAGGUGUUUAUAUCUAAAACAAAAAUGAAAAACAGUUUCUAGCUAGUAAAACACUUAGCUCAAAUGUGUUUACAAGCAAACACAUUCUCAGAAAAACAGAAGGAUUACUUAGAGAUGAUUGGAAACUGCACCAACAAGAUACUUAUUUUGGCCUUUGAAGAAAGGCAGGAAAUGUAGAGAAUAAGCAGAAUUAUGGUCCUGAAGAUUGAUCAGUUAUCCCAAAAUCUCAGCAUUAUCAUUUACCAAUGAGUCAAUGUUGCCAACAAAACAAAGGGUAACCUUACAGGAAGGUUUUAUAAAUUCAUUGUAUUGGACAUUGGAUGUUACCUGUCUUGCAGAAUGAGGACUGAAGAAACUUACAAGCAUAAAAUGA
rnacentral:lncRNA from 1 species